AUUGAACGCUGGCGGCAGGCCUAACACAUGCACGUCGAGCGGAUGAAGAGAGCUUGCUCUCUGAUUUAGCGGCGGACGGGUGAGUAAUGCCUAGGAAUCUGCCUGGUAGUGGGGGAUAACGGUCCGAAAGGAACGCUAAUACCGCAUACGUCCUACGGGAGAAAGUGGGGGAUCUUCGGACCUCACGCUAUCAGAUGAGCCUAGGUCGGAUUAGCUAGUUGGUGAGGUAAUGGCUCACCAAGGCGACGAUCCGUAACUGGUCUGAGAGGAUGAUCAGUCACACUGGAACUGAGACACGGUCCAGACUCCUACGGGAGGCAGCAGUGGGGAAUAUUGGACAAUGGGCGAAAGCCUGAUCCAGCCAUGCCGCGUGUGUGAAGAAGGUCUUCGGAUUGUAAAGCACUUUAAGUUGGGAGGAAGGGUUGUAGAUUAAUACUCUGCAAUUUUGACGUUACCGACAGAAUAAGCACCGGCUAACUUCGUGCCAGCCGCCGCCGAAA
rnacentral:rRNA from 1 species